GUAAGUACUUUGUGAUUUUCAGUAUUAUUUAUCUUUUUUUUUCAUAGCAUCCUCAAGCUUAACAUUAUAUUUAUUGAUAAAUUAUUUGCUACACUUCAUGAUUUCAAUAGAAUUAUGUUUUUUUAUCCUGUCAAAAAUGUAACCCAUAUUACCUAUAUAUUUAUAAAAUGGAGUUUUUUUUAAUAAAUUGUCAAUUUUUGUAGAAAUUUUUUAAGAGGCAGAUUUGCUACAUCACUUUAUUUCUUUUGCUUGUUGACAGGUGUUACAGGGUUACUCAGUUCACUAUUUAUUUAAACUUCACUCUGCAUUUUUGUCUCGUUUUUCUCUAACUUCUCUUUCUUUUCCUUCUCUUUAAAAAUUAGUUAAUUACCAUAAUGUUGAAUAUAUGUCAUAUGAAUGUCAGAUCCUUACCAUCAAAAUUUAAUGAAUUUCAUAAUCAGAUUCUUGCUGGGGACUAUGAUAUUGUGGGAGUAACAGAAACAUGGAUGCAUGCAGGUAUUGACAGCAGUAAUGUGAAACUUAUAAAUUUGGAAAGGACCACGCACAAAGCUCAUGGAAAUUGGAUUCUGUAAGUUUUAUUUACUUCAUCCGCUACUGAACUAAUAUUUCAACCGGUAUCAUGUUUUUUUUAUCAAGUUACUAGUUGUCUAUUGGUUGUCAUGAUGACAUAUCAUUAGUAAUGUCUGUACUCAUGUAAUGUAUACAUGGUAAAUAAAAGAUUUUUCUAAAGUUU